AGUGAACGCUGGCGGUAGGCCUAACACAUGCAAGUCGAACGGCAGCACAGUAAGAGCUUGCUCUUACGGGUGGCGAGUGGCGGACGGGUGAGGAAUACAUCGGAAUCUACUUUUUCGUGGGGGAUAACGUAGGGAAACUUACGCUAAUACCGCAUACGACCUACGGGUGAAAGCAGGGGAUCUUCGGACCUUGCGCGAUUGAAUGAGCCGAUGUCGGAUUAGCUAGUUGGCGGGGUAAAGGCCCACCAAGGCGACGAUCCGUAGCUGGUCUGAGAGGAUGGUCAGCCACACUGGAACUGAGACACGGUCCAGACUCCUACGGGAGGCAGCAGUGGGGAAUAUUGGACAAUGGGCGCAAGCCUGAUCCAGCCAUACCGCGUGGGUGAAGAAGGCCUUCGGGUCGUAAAGCCCUUUUGUUGGGAAAGAAAAGCAGCAGGUUAAUACCCCGCUGUUCUGACGGUACCCAAAGAAUAAGCACCGGCUAACUUCGUG
rnacentral:rRNA from 1 species